rnacentral:rRNA from 1 species
GUCCACGCCGUAAACGAUGAGUGCUAGAUGCUGUGGGUAUUGACCCCCGCGGUGUCGCAGCCAACGCGUUAAGCACUCCGCCUGGGGAGUACGGCCGCAAGGCUAAAACUCAAAGGAAUUGACGGGGGCCCGCACAAGCGGUGGAGCAUGUGGUUCAAUUCGACGCAACGCGCAGAACCUUACCUGGGUUAAAUCCACUCGAAGCUGCCAGAGAUGGUGGUGUGCUCUUCGGAGAGCGAGUGAGACGGUGCUGCAUGGCUGUCGU